UACAGAGGUCUCAAGCGUUGUUCGGAUUCAUUGGGCGUAAAGGGUGCGUAGGUGGCGCGGUAAGUCGGGUGUUGAAAUUUCGGAGCUUAACUCCGAAACUGCAUUCGAUACUGCCGUGCUUGAGGACUGGAGAGGAGACUGGAAUUUACGGUGUAGCGGUGAAAUGCGCAGAUAUCAGGAGGAACACCAAUGGCGAAGGCAGCUCGCUGGGACGGUACUGACGCUGAGACGCGAAAGCGUGGGGAGCAAACAGGAUAGAAACCCCUG
rnacentral:rRNA from 1 species